UCACGUGGAAGGUGCCUGAUCUCAUCAGAUCUCGGAAGCUAAGCAGGAUUGAGCUUGACUUAGUGCUUGGGUGGGUGACCAAUGUACAUUAGC
rnacentral:rRNA from 1 species